GGCUGGGCCGAGUGCAGUGGUGUCUACAAUUAAUUGAUCACAAGUUACAUAUUUCUCUGUUCCUCCUCCACUCCCACUGCUUCACUUGACUAGUAAAA
ensembl:misc_RNA Y_RNA Y RNA